ACCAAACUUGAUUGCUCUUAACAUCAGCAACAACACCUUUGCAGGCUCCAUUUCAUCAUCAUCUAUUUGCAAGGGAUCCAAACUCUUGAAAAUCUUGGAUUUCUCCAUGAAUCAAUUCACUGGCCCUAUACAUGAUCUUGCCCAAUGCUCAAACCUGGAGGUUUUGAGGGCAGGCUCCAACUCUCUCUCUGGUUCACUACCUCUCAAUCUAUACACCUUGACAACAUUGCAAGAACUCUCUCUACCUAACAACCAACUCUCCGGCGCAAUCGACGGCGCCAUCGUCAACCUCUCAAACCUCAUCAUCUUAGAGCUCCAUGUGAAUCAACUAUGGGGUAAGCUACCUUCUAACAUAGGCUUGCUUUCCAAAUUGCAGCAACUGCAACUCCACUCCAACAACCUCAACGGCACAAUACCUCCCUCUUUAACAGACUGCACCAACCUCACCACUCUCCUCCUCCGCAACAACCUCUUCUCCGGCCAAAUCGCUGCUCUCGAUUUCUCCAAACUGCAACGCUUACAAGCCCUCGACCUCGGCAACAACACCUUGGUCGGAGGCAUCCCGGAGAGCCUCUGCCUGUGCAAGUCCGCCACCGCGAUCCGCCUCGCCUUCAACCAUGCUCACCGGAGAAGUACCUCCCUGCAUGGCCUCCCUCCACUCUCUCAUACACCUCUCUCUCUCCGACAACCUCCUCUCCAACGUCGUCGGAGCCCUGACCACUCUCCGGCACUGCGAGAAUCUCGCGGUGCUCUUCCUCUCGAGGUGCUUCCACGACGAGAGGAUGCCCGACGACGACGACCUGCUACAUCUCGACAGCUUCAAGAAUCUGCAGAUUCUAACCCUAGGAGGAUGCAAGCUCAGGGGCGAGAUCCCGACGUGGAUUUCGAAGCUGAGGAAGGUGAAAGUUCUCAACCUCUCCUUCAACAAGAUCUCCGGCCCGAUUCCGGCGUGGCUGGGAUCAAUGCCGAGCUUGUACGUGCUCAACUUGACGCAGAAUUUCUUGUCGGGAGAAAUCCCACGUGAGAUCGGGCGGCUGCCGGCGUUGAUCUCCGACAACGGCAGCACGGACUUGAGCCACCUGGCGCUGCCGUUCUUGUUCGACAAGCUUCAAUACAACCGCCUCUUCAACCUGCCGCGCGGCCUCAAGCUGGGGAACAACAGCCUGAGCGGCAGCAUUCCGGCGGAGAUUGGGCAGCUGAAGCUGCUCAUCAUAUUGGAUCUCAGCAGCAACGAGCUGAGCGGCGGCAUACCUGAGCAGCUCUCGAAUCUGACCAACUUGGAGAGGUUGGACAUGUCGGGGAACCAUCUGUCGGGGGAGAUACCGGCGGCGCUGACGAAGCUGCAUUUCUUGUCGGCGUUCAGCGUGGCCAACAAUGAUCUUCAGGGAGAGAUUCCCAAAGGGGGUCAGUUUGAGACGUUUGGGGCUACUGCGUUUGAAGGGAAUCCGAAACUGAUAAACGGGAGCCACGUGGUUGCGGUGGCGCCGCCGCGUGUGGAGGAGGAGGAGGAAGAAGAAGAGGGGUUGUGGCAUAAUACUCGCUUACCUUUUGGGUUGGGAUACUUUGUAGGAGUAAUCCCUUCUUCAUCAAUGGCGUUGAGCUACUACACCUUUCAGCAGCCAGACUACGAUCCAGAGCUCCAAUCUCUGUUGAACCCGGACGGCGACUCCUUCUGCAACUCUCUUCUCUGCGACGACCUCACUUAUCAUGCUAAUGGACUUCCCUUGGAUUUGGAUAAUCUCACAACUCCCUUUCUUUUGCCGCACCAACAACAACAAUCCCAGGCGCCCUUCCCCAAACGCCACAAGCUCUCGCUGCCGGAAUUUGUCUCGUUGCCUCAGUUCCCUGCGGCGGAUUUCAGCUGUGAGAGCGCCAAGAACGAAACGAGCUUAUCCGCGCAGAGCAUCGCAGCCAGGCAGAGGCGGCGGAAGAUCACGCUGAAGACGCAGGAGCUCGGAAAGCUGGUUCCCGGCGGGCAGAGGAUGAACACGGCGGAGAUGCUGCAAUCCGCCUACAACUACAUCAAGUUCUUGCAGGCGCAAGUUGCUCUCCUUGGUUCGCAUCAUCAGGAGGUACCAUUCGAAGGUGAAGAAGAGCUCCAGAAUCUUCUAGAAUCUCCUUUGAUUCAAGAAAAGCUAUACUCCACUCAACAUUGCUUGCUUCCAAUCCAAAUUUGCUGGAAAAGGAUCAUUGGUGACUCACGCCCGGCCGCUGCCUAGCUAGUUCUAAUAGGCUAAUCUUGAUUGUUUUAGUUUAGGCUGAUCUUGACUUAUAUGUUGUUUAGUUUAAUUUAAGGCAACCUCUUCAUGCCUUGUGUUUUUUAGUUACUUGCUUGUAUUCCUUACAGGCUAGGAUAUAUGUUAGGUAUUUUUUUCUUAGUGUAAGUUAUCCUCAUCCUAACAUACAUUACAAUGAGUAGGUUAAUCCCAUAUGUGAUUGAUUGAUUAUUUACUGCUA